AACCAUAGAAACCUGCGGAGUACCUGCGGAAGGAUCAUUACAGAGAUUGAUGCACCAAGUGCAUCACCUCCAACCCCUUGCGAAAACAACUAUCAUGUGUUGCUUUGGCAGUGUUUCCACUGCCAGAGGUUUACAUAAAAUCAGCUGUUGGAUGUUGUCUGAGUAAACUAUAUGAAUUAUUUAAAACUUUCAACAACGGAUCU
rnacentral:misc_RNA from 1 species